GGUUCAGUGGAUUAGUGGAAGAUCGUCAAUAUGAAGCCGGUAGGGGAAGCUCUUGAAAAAACUCGUAAAGUAAAGGCACCGUAAAGCUUUGAGAAGGCGAGGGUUCGAUUCCCUCCUGGACCG
rnacentral:tRNA from 1 species